GGCCUGAUGGUCUAGGAGUAUGAUUCGUUGUUAGGGCAUUUCCGCUUUUCGACGAGGUCCCGGGUUCAAUUCCCGGUCAGGCCC
rnacentral:tRNA from 1 species